rnacentral:rRNA from 1 species
GCUAUUGGAGUUCGAUUAAGCCAUGCGAGUCGAGAGUCUUAGGGACUCGGCGUACCGCUCAGUAACACGUGGGUAACCUGCCCUAUGCUGGGGAAUAACCUCGGGAAACUGAGAAUAAUGCCCCAUAGUCCACAAUGCCUGGAACGGUUUGUGGAUCAAAGCUCCGGCGGCAUAGGAUGGGCCUGCGGCGUAUCAGGUUGUAGGGGGUGUAACGUACCCUCUAGCCAUCAACGCGUACGGGUGUUGGGAGACAUAGCCCGGAGAUGGAUUCUGAGACACGAAUCCAGACCCUACGGGGUGCAGCAGGCGCGAAAACUUGGCAAUGCGAGAAAUCGUGACCAGGGAACUCCAAGUGGCUGGGGUAAGACCCAGUCUUUUCUUGACUCUUCAAAGGUCUUGGAAUAAGGGGUGGGUAAGGACGGUGCCAGCCGCCGCGGUAAUACCGGCGCCUCAAGUGGUAGUCGAUUUUAUUGGGCCUAAAACGUCCGUAGCCUGUUUGGUACAUUCGUGGGUAAAUCAACCAGCUCAACUGGUUGAAUUCUGCGAGCACGGCCAGACUUGGGACCGGGAGAGGUGUGGGGUACGCUCAGGGUAGGGGUAAAAUCCUGUCAUCCUGAGCGGACCACCUGUUGCGAAGGCGCCACACUAGAACGGAUCCGACGGUCAGGGACGAAGCCUAGGGGCACGAACCGGAUUAGAUACCCGGGUAGUCCUAGGUGUAAACGCUGUGGACUUGGUGUUGGGGACUCUCUGAGAUUCCUCAGUGCCGAAGCGAAGGUGAUAAGUCCACUGCCUGGGGAGUACGGUCGCAAGGCUGAAACUUAAAGGAAUUGGCGGGGGAGCACCGC